CAUUAUCAGACACAUGUAAAAAAUUCUGAUCAACAAUACUAGCAUGGCUAAAAGUAACAUUACAAAUAUAUGAAUAUACAGGACAGUUUAACAAAACAUGUUUUUCAUCUUCAACAACAUCUAAAAAAAAAAUAUGGAAAGCUUCAUGAAUUUGUGUGUCAUCCUUACCUAAGUUGAGAUACAAUUCACUGACUAAUUAAUCAUAAUGGUUAGUCCUGACCUGUUAAAACACACAAAUGUAUUUGAAAUAUUUAUUAAAUCAAAAAAAAAU
rnacentral:lncRNA from 1 species